rnacentral:rRNA from 1 species
CGCGUAGGCGGUCUCUUAAGUCUGAUGUGAAAGCCCGGGGCUUAACCCCGGAAGUGCAUUUGAAACUAAGGGACUUGAGUAUGGGAGAGGGAAGUGGAAUUCCUGGUGUAGAGGUGAAAUUCGUAGAUAUCAGGAGGAACACCGGUGGCGAAGGCGACUUCCUGGACCAAUACUGACGCUGAGGCGCGAAGGCGUGGGGAGCAAACA